rnacentral:lncRNA from 1 species
AAGUUCAAUACCACAGUCAAGGCUGAGAAAGGGAAGCUUGUCAUCAACAGGAAGGCCAUCACCAUCUUUUAGAAGUGAGAUACUGCUAACAUCUAAUGUAGUGAUACUGGCACUUGGUAUGUUGUUGAGUUUACUGGUGUCUUUACCACAAUGGAGAAGGCCAGGGCCACAUGAAGGUUGGGGCCAAAAGGCUCAUCAUCUGUACCUUUUUCUGCUGAUGUCUCACGAUGGUCUUGGGGCUGCUCAGAACAUCAUCUCUACAUCCACUGGUGCUACCUGAGGCUGUGAGUAAGGUCAUCCCAGAGCUGAAGAGGAAGCUCACUGACAUGACAUUUUUCUAUUCUACCAUCAAUGUAUCUAUUAUGGAUCUGGUAUGCUGCCUGGAGAAAACUGCCAAGUACAAAAAU